UUUUCAUUUCAAAUCGAUUCACACACAUAGCAGACGCUAACACAUCAAGCGUCAUCAAUAGCGUGGUCUGUGGAUGCUAUCGCUGGAGUAAGGCGUUUACCUUCAAUUCGGGUAGCGUCAUGAUUGGCCUACCCUGAUGGCGUCAUGAUCGCUGCUGAUUGCCUUUCAAAUAGGUUUUCAGCAUUCUGCUUACACCUUUGGCAUAGAGUCACAUAUUUCACAAUCCAACAUCAAUUGGUACCAACAGCAGCCCUUCUCUCCAUCAUCCAGAAGGGUCUGAGAUCAGUGUUGGAGAUGAUGGUUCGGAACAACCCAUGGAAAGCUUAUCACUCAUUGAUGCUGUGAUGCCUGAUGUUGUUGCAAGUCGUCAACAGCAAACACAGAACAAACAGAAACCACAAGUGGUAAAGACAGAACCACCAAAUUCCAAUGGAGAUGAACCCAUGCAUUCCAAUCGCUGGGAAGAGGAAACAGGAGUAGAGAUACCUGCCAGCAAAUCAACUGUACUUCGUGGCCAUGAAUCUGAAGUUUUCAUCUGCGCCUGAACCCAACAACUGAUUUAUUGGCUUCUGGCUCUCGGAUGGUGACUCUUCUGAAGGUACCAUCAAAGAGAGAGAAAGACAUUAGAUGAAUAUAGAGGUUAUUCAGACUUACAAUCACUGAUUUUAAAUUACUAUCCUGUUUAUUGAGUAUACAGUUUAAUAAUACCAUAAAACAUCAGACCACCUAAAUAUCAUAAUUGGGGGAAAUUUUAAAAAAUAAAACACGUGGUAGACAACUGA